rnacentral:rRNA from 1 species
CUACGUGCCAGCAGCCGCGGUAAUACGUAUGUCACAAGCGUUAUCCGGAUUUAUUGGGCGUAAAGCGCGUCUAGGUGGUUAUGUAAGUCUGAUGUGAAAAUGCAGGGCUCAACUCUGUAUUGCGUUGGAAACUGCAUGACUAGAGUACUGGAGAGGUAAGCGGAACUACAAGUGUAGAGGUGAAAUUCGUAGAUAUUUGUAGGAAUGCCGAUGGGGAAGCCAGCUUACUGGACAGAUACUGACGCUAAAGCGCGAAAGCGUGGGUAGCAAACAGGAUUAGAUACCCUGGUAGUCCACGCCGUAAACGAUGAUUACUAGGUGUUGGGGGUCGAACCUCAGCGCCCAAGCUAACGCGAUAAGUAAUCCGCCUGGGGAGUACGUACGCAAGUAUGAAACUCAAAGGAAUUGACGGGGACCCGCACAAGCGGUGGAGCAUGUGGUUUAAUUCGACGCAACGCGAGGAACCUUACCAGGUCUUGACAUCCCUCUGACCGCUCUAGAGAUAGAGUUUUC